CAGCCGCCGCGGUAAUACGUAGGUGGCAAGCGUUGUCCGGAAUUAUUGGGCGUAAAGGGCUCGCAGGCGGUUUCUUAAGUCUGAUGUAAAAGCCCCCGGCUCAACCGGGGAGGGUCAUUGGAAACUGGGAAACUUGAGUGCAGAAGAGGAGAGUGGAAUUCCACGUGUAGCGGUGAAAUGCGUAGAGAUGUGGAGGAACACCAGUGGCGAAGGCGACUCUCUGGUCUGUAACUGACGCUGAGGAGCGAAAGCGUGGGGAGCGAACAGGAUUAGAUACCCCAGUAGUCCCUGUCUCUUAUAC
rnacentral:rRNA from 1 species